rnacentral:rRNA from 1 species
AUGUCCACGCUGCGUCAACAACUCAACAUUCAGCAGUCCACACUGCAUUUGUGUGGGCCCCACACUGCAUACACAGCACAGAGCUCUAGCUUUUGUGUGGGCCCCACACUUGAUUUCCUUACAAAGACUACCAUGCUCACCUCUAUAUGUCCUAUCCAAGUGGCGUGUGUUUCUGCAUGCAACGGGUGCACUGCAUCUACGUCAGGUCGCAGGAGGCGCGUCCCUGCGUUCGGCGAGUGGAACAACCACAGCGAUGGCGACGAAGGUGGCUGGACGGCGGCCGUCGUCAACCAGUGCUUCGAGCCUGUCACAGCACAAAAAUCACUCAAGCAGGAAUUCAUUGGUUACGAUAGUGGCGUCGUCGUCAUGGGGAAGCAGCAGCACAAGGUGACGAGGCAAACCUGGGUGGAUGACUCAGGGACCCACAUGGCAAUGGAACCCUUCUCCUUCACGGCGGUCAAAGCUGUUGACGAUGACCUAUAUGAGGUCCCAUCGGACAUGCUCUGCGCCAAGCCACUACGGAAGGGUAGGAUGUGGCUGAGGAGCCUGCUGAUGAGGUGUUGCAGCCUCAACUGCUUAGCCUACUGA